rnacentral:rRNA from 1 species
AUUGAACGCUGGCGGCAUGCCUUACACAUGCAAGUCGAACGGUAACAGGUCUUCGGAUGCUGACGAGUGGCGAACGGGUGAGUAAUACAUCGGAACGUGCCUAGUAGUGGGGGAUAACUACUAGAAAGAGUGGCUAAUACCGCAUGAGAUCUACGGAUGAAAGCAGGGGAUCGCAAGACCUUGUGCUACGAGAGCGGCCGAUGGCAGAUUAGGUAGUUGGUGGGAUAAAAGCUUACCAAGCCGACGAUCUGUAGCUGGUCUGAGAGGACGAUCAGCCACACUGGGACUGAGACACGGCCCAGACUCCUACGGGAGGCAGCAGUGGGGAAUUUUGGACAAUGGGCGCAAGCCUGAUCCAGCAAUGCCGCGUGCAGGAUGAAGGCCUUCGGGUUGUAAACUGCUUUUGUACGGAACGAAAAGCCCCGGGUUAAUACCCUGGGGUCAUGACGGUACCGUAAGAAUAAGCACCGGCUAACUACGUGCCAGCCGCCGCGGUAA